rnacentral:lncRNA from 1 species
UCAAGUUCUAUCGACCACCGAUACAACUCUACGCACGCUUAACGUUCACUUUACCUAGAACAAGUAUGAAACCAGAAGUACUUUGUAGGUGUGAUAAGAUAGGUUUGCAAGAUAAUAAAGAGCACAUAAAUAAAAUCUAGGGGUUGUUUAGAUAAACCAAUAACUAACUUAGUUUUAGUAGAGAGCUUUUUGUCAAGAGAAAGUUAUUUGUCCCUAGGAAAUCGACAACUAGACCGGUAAUCAUUAUUACAAUUUUAUAUGAGGGAGAGGCUGUAACGCCCGGAUUAUUAAGCUACAGUAAUCCCCUUCUAAUGGUGUCAUGUCACCACGAUUACUGUUCUUAAACUCACGUUGGUUCGAAACCGGUUCAAAUUCAAAUCCAAAACAAAAUCAAAAAUAAAAGUUUUCAGAUGUCAAAUCUAAAAUGUUCGCAAUAUUCUUUAAAUUCACCUGAUCAUUGUCAUGUUGGAACCAACCUCUUUUGGAUUCACACAGUGUCCCUAAAAAUUUAUUCAGUGGACAACCAACCAAUUAUUUGAGCUUUUCAAUUUCUAAAAAUAGUUGAACACUCCCAAAUGCUUUGAAACUUUUGUACCAACCCAGGAUAUUGCCUUGUAUUUUUGUGCCAAGUUUUGUAUUAAACAAAACUCUUUUAGUGGCUCAAAGAAAAUAAACAAAAGGAUAAAAACUAAAACAAGAAAAUAAAAAGGGGGCAACCGUCCCCUCUCCGGGCCUCGGCCCAGCAGGCCUCUGACCUAACCAGGCCCAACCCAUCUUCCCUCGGUCGUCUUCUCCUGUUCACGACAGCGCCCGAACAGAAGCUCGUCCACGUCAGACCAGCCUUGCCGGCGCUGCCCCAAGGGGAUAAGGGCGACGCCUCGGGCUCCCCUUGUCUCCCCUCUCCCACUUGCCUCCCUCUCCCUUCCACGCUCCCCUCCCCAGAUCCACCUUCUCUUUCCCCUCGCCCUCCUCGCAAGGCCGCGCUCCGCCAUCGCCGGCCACCUCGCCUCGCCGUGAUCACCGGCCUCCCCGCGCCCUUCCUCCGUGCCCAGGAGGACCGCCGCCGUCCCCUGCUUCAUCUUCGCCGACUAGACCGAGUCGAGGGCCCCGGCAUCGACCCCUACCCGUCGUCUUCGACAUCGGGCCCGACGAGCCCCGCCGUCUCUUCCGACCCUGGCGCCGCCUGCUACUCCUAAUCAUUCAUCGGGCCCCCGUGUGCCCCCGAGGUGAGCUCCGCCUCCCCCCUUCCUUUGCUUCUCCUAGCGCGUCUCGGCCCCCUGCCGCUAGCAUGCAACGUCACUGUAGCUAGUCGCCGUGGCCACACCCGCCGGCGAGCUCAGCCGAACACGGCCUCGUGCUCAGCUCGCUCCCCGCAGCCCAGCGUCAUGGACCGCAUCCCGUGCCGUGCCCCGUAGCACCAUCCUCUUCGUCGCCCGAGCGUGACCGCCGCCCUCGCCGCUCGUCGGCGCCCCUCCGGGACGCCACCGCCCCCAAUCGACGCGCCUUCAUGCGCUCUUUUGAAUGCGCCAAGUCCCGCGCCAAAAGACCCCCUGUGCGCGAUUUCCAGCGAAGUCCGGCGAGCCCCGCCGCUGUUUUGGUCGUCGCCGACAUGGCCUCACAAGUGGGCCCCUUGUGACACUGCCGCUGGGCCCCACGGGCCCGAGUUGACCUUGUUGACUAGGUCAACUGCCGACUGGGCACUCUGACCCACUGACAUGCGGGCCCCACUAGCUUAAACGGUUUUAUAAAUAAAUAAAACUCCUAGUUAAAAUCUGUUAUUUCAUUAGUAGUUAGGUAGUCACUGACACUUGGGGCCCACACCUCUAAUUAGUCUAUUAGAUUAGUUUAACCCACUAUUUAACCCAGAGAGGCUGACAGGUGGGCCCCACCUGUCAGUUUGACCAGUCAGUAGGUCAGCCGAAUGUUGACGCAUUGCUAACGUCAUACUGACGCAGUAACUCUUUUUUAUGUUAUUUAAAUCAUUUCACAAAAUGUUUAAAACUUUGGAAAUUCGUAGAAAAUAAACCGUAACUCGGAUGAAAAUGUUUUCUACAUGAAAGUUGCUCAGAAAAAUCCAAUGAAUCCGAAUUCGCGGUCCGUUCAUCUGUCGCAUGCCCCUAGCAUGCUGAACAUGGAACUUUCCCCCUCUUUUCCUUUGCCCGGAAUCCGCCUAACGCUGGGAAUUCAUACUCAGAUGUUUAUCCCCUCCGUCUGCAACAUGUAGUACUACAUUAGGUCAACCCUAGUUCUGCUUAUCGUCAUGUCAUGCUUAGUGUUGCAUCUGUUUGCUUAUAUUUACUGUUUCUUCCCCCUCUUCUCUCCGGUAGACCCCGAGACUGAUGUUGCCCCUGUGAUCGACUGUGUCACCGACGACCCUUCUUCCUUUUCAGCAGAGCUUCCAGGCAAGCCCCCCUUUGAUCAUCCCGAUAUGGCCCAUUCCAUUCUCUCAUGCUUGCAUUAGAUUUUGCUACUGUUAUUGUUUGCUCCUAUUCUGAUGCAUAGCCUGCUUUUGUAACCUGCUUAUUGUUACCUUACCUGCUUAUCCUAAACUGCUUAGUAUAGGUUGGUUAGUGAUCCAUCAGUGACCCCACCUUGUCCUUGUUGCCCCUGCUUCAUCAUCGACGACUCGAUCAACGUGAUUGAUGACCAGAGCCCGACAUCUCACAUCACAUCACGCCCCUUUUGUUGCCCGACUCUGCAGAGUUACCAUCGAGUGUCGAGGGUGGAACCUCAUGCAUCACUCCUGAUGAGAUAUCUGUAGUGUAGCAAUUCGGUCGUGGUCAUCGAGGGUGAUUUCCUCCUUAACCACUUCAGAUACGACUCUGUCGUGCAACCCCUCAAGUGUGAACCUCGGGGGUGGCUCCUCUUACGUUCACCUUGAUGAUUACAUCGAGUGGAAUUCACCGGGGAUGAUUCCUCGGGUUUUCCCCUUGAUGUUUGGACACACGGAUACUUGAACUUUACAACCGUUACUUGGAAAGGCGGGUCGACCCUGAGGGGUACCCGCAAGUGAUGUGGAGACGGGUUGAGCUGGAAGGUGCCCACGAGAUACUUACGAGGCGUGGUCGGGCAUUCUUAGCCCUUGCCGGAAGUCCUCGAGACGGGGCAACGGGGUCUCAUCGAUCGUGAGUCUCUACUCCUUACCGCGUGCUCCUAAUCCACUACGAUUUUGAUAUUUGAUCCGAGGGGCCUCUGGCCUGAUAGCACUAACAAUCACGUGGGCGUAGUAUGGGCGUUCUGCGUCGUAUGCAUCAGCCGAAGCUUAAUAGACGUCAGCGACUGAGCGGCGCGCGCCAGUUGACUGGUAAGCACCUGCCUUUUUAAGGAGGUAGCUAGGUCUGCUCACCGGCCGCCCUCGCAACGUGCAGGAGUUCCCGGGGCGAUGGCCCAAGACCCCUGGGGGCAUAGGUUUAGUCCGGCGUGCUGACCUCUCUAUUAAGCCUAGGUCGGGUUGCGGCGUAUUGUUUGGCCGGGGCCGGGCAUGACCCAGGAAAGUGUGUCCGGCCAAAGUUAAUCGAGCAUGGUGGGUAAGUUGGUGCACCCCUGCAGGGAAGAAAACAUCUAUCGAUAGCCUGUCCUACGGUAACGGACACUUGGAGUUGUAUCCCGAUCGAUACAACUAGAACUGGAUACUUGAGGUGAUAACUGGAUAGUAUGGCUCUGGGAUUGCUUUCUCGUAGGGAGUCGAGAAAGGAUCUCUGGCCGAGGUUGAUAACACUACUACUACUUUACUUUAUGCUAUUCUAUACUCUUCUGAAUGCUGCAAGAUGCUUGGAGCUGCUUCAAGAUGCUAGUCUUUGAUAGGCUAGGCUUUCCCCUUCUCUUCUCGCAUCCUGCAGUCUAGUCCACAGAUACAGCCCAUUUCAUUGAUACCGAUGCAUAUGUAGUGUAGAUCCUUGCUUGCGAGUACUUUGGAUGAGUACUCAUGGUUGUUUGCUCCCUCUUUUCUCCCCUUUCCUUUUCUUUCCAGAUGUAGCAACCAGAUGGUGGAGCUCAGGAGCCAGACGCCACCUUCGACGACGGCUACUACUACCCGAGGGUGCCUACUACUACGUGGAGACCGCCGAUGACCAGGAGUAGUUAGGAGGCUCCCAGGCAGGAGGCCUUGCCUUUUCGAUCGUUGAUACUUUUGUGCUAGCCUUCUUAAGGCAAACUUGUUUAACUCAUCUCUGUACUCAGAUAUUGUUGCUUCCGCUAACCUUGUGUAUUUGAGCUUAUGUAUUCGAGCCCUUGAGGCCCCUGGCUUGUAAUAUAAAGCUUGUAUUAUUUUAAUUUGUGUCUAGAGUUAUGUUGUGAUAUCUUCCUGUGAGUCCUUGAUCUUGAUCGUACACAUUUGCAUGUAUGAUUAGUGUACGAUUGAAUCGGUGGCGUCACAAGUUGGUAUCAAAGCCGACUGCCUGUAGGUAGCCCCCUUUCCAGCUCGUUGGCCGAAGUUGAGUCUAGUUAUCCAAAACUGUUUUACUAACUUGGCUGUGUGGCUUAUUGGCCCACGUCGCCAUUGGGUGGUAUUAGGAUCUUUUAUUCCUCGUCUAUACUCUGGGACUGUGAUCUCUCAUCUAUUUGGGUUAAACAUUUUACUAACUCUGAAAUUAGGCUCUCAUACCCACUUCCUCCCGGAGAGCCCCGACAUUAUCGAUGAUCGCUUGCUUCGCCAGAAGAUUCUGCAGAUACUCCUCGAUGUUUCUCGAGACACCGUGCCAACUGCCUUGCAGUUCCUGACCAUCGAUAAUUCCCGUGAAUAACAUCCUUGCCACUUGUACCUACAUCCCCAGUUGCUCCUAUUAUUACAAGAUACCCCUAGUACUCUCCUUUGUUCCGAGAAUCCUUUGUGCCUUCUGCUUUGCCGCAUUCUUUUCGCAUUACGGAUAAUUCACUUAACUGGGGUUCGUUCGUCCCCAGUUGUUCAUAUGCUUUCCAAAUUACCUGAAAAUGCUAUCCUAUCUUUCAAAAUCCUCUGCAGCCUAUUGCUCUUGAUUCUCCUUGCCUGCUUGCAUUAGGAUUAAUUCCAUAUGACUAGCAAUAUUCUUUAAAAUUCUUUGUGAUUGUCAUUCUGUUCCUAUGGAUUCAGCGUGUGUGCGAAUACUCGCAAUCAUCAAUUAAUCCUUGGAAAUUUUCUUUAUGGCUCAGACAUCCUUCCAGAUAUGAGCUGGUUCUUGCCAAAUCCAGAUUUGAUCGGGUACACCUCUAAGUCUAUUCAACUUACUCAUCUUUUGAUCAGAGCCUCUGCUUUUGAUCCUUCAUCUUGAAAUCAUAAUUCCUUUGUACCCAAGCAUCGAAUCAUUCAGACGUUUCUAUAAGCCGAUGCCUUUGCAUCCCCUUCUUCAUCUGAUUGAUUACUAAUACUCACAUCAACUCUAUCAUGAAUCGCCAGAUCCAUUGCUGGGUUGUUAUCCGAAAGUGUCCUUCACAUCCAAAGUCCUGUGAGUUUUUCCCUGAUACAUAAUACCUUCGGUAAAUUGUAUCAUCUGCUUUGACUUCGAUACUCUGCUUUCGAACUCGUAUCUUUUGCUUGGUUGAUGGUUGUAUAGAUUCAUAAAAAAAAUGCCCCGAUGGGUUGAACCUAUGCCUUCCCUAAUCUGUGUGAACUCGAAAGAGAUGUGAGUCAUACUCUUCUGGCGCUUCACCAGAUAAAUCUUUCGCACUACAAUUUCUUCGAAAACGAGGAGUGAAUGAAAGGUUAUGCAUUGAAGAAGUGGGAGUCGACCUUGAACCUUUGUGUUCAUGCCCAUGGACCCAAUGUAGAACUUAUCAUGGAAGCUGCUCGUAAAAAUAAUUAUUUCUUUGGUACAAGCUCAUCUUGUAUCCAUGAAUUGAUCCUUGCUAUCGUGGUUCCGACCAUAUUUCCUCCUUGAUUCCAUUUACUAAGUAAGUUAAAAUACUUAUCCUCUGCAAAUCAUUUCCCCCGUCCAACCUCUACUCCGAUUUACCUUCCGGCAUUACACCUAGUACUUGAUACUGGGAAGUUUCAUAAACCAUCACAUCAUUCCUAGCCUGAUCGGCUAUAUUUUAUCGUGUCAACCUUUAACUGUGCUACCUGGUCCUUAUGCCCGGAGCAACUUCCGACGAUGAGCUAAGCUUACGUCGAUCCUCCUCAUCUUAUCAUUUCACCUCGAACAACAAGCUUGACUUCGAGCUUGUGUCGAACCCAUCAUCCUUCCUUUUCUGCUCGAUGGCAUCUUCAUAGAGUCUCUCGACAAAAUUGGUCGUGAUCACCGUCAACACUUUGGCUUCUUCAGAGAUGUCAAUUGAAUUCAUGGCUAGAAAUACCAUUCUUGCCUCUCAAUGAUUUGUGUCAGCAUCGCCAACAUUCUUGUCUCCCCCCAACACAAACUUGAUCAUAUUAAUUUUGGGAAUACAUCCUUUUUGACAUGUCGAUGGAUUGGUACUGAACCCAUCGACCACCUCCUCAUCUUUUCCCUGAUAAAAUAGCAUGAUAUGUUCUAAAAAUUCUGAUGGAUCCUUUGUGUUCCCAAGGUCCGACCUUUACCUGAUGACCAUGUUAAUGCUAUCCAAAAGCAUGAUUGUGGUACUCCGAACCUCUUUAAAACCAUUUGGAGGCGCAAUGCUAAAUGUUUCUUGAUCACUGUUUUAUGGGUAACGUCAUGAAUUUCCUCUCCCCUUUACCUAAAAGGUAAUCUACUACCUUGUCAUGGAUGUCAUCCUCUGCUUGUCCUUGGGAAUAAUAUACUCCUGAUAUUUGUGUUUAAACACAUUUUACUUUCCAUUGUUCUGAUUAAAUUAAUAAUCACAUUUUCCUUUCCCUUGUUUUGUUUGAACCUUUCUUGUGAUCUAUAUGAUAUAAGCAGAAAUAAAUCCCUGCUUAUAAAACACCCCGAUGCACAAGCUCUCUCACUAAGCCCUUGUUACUAUUGUUGAUGACAUUCCGGUAGCCACCGAUGGACGAGAACUUUGCCUAUUGGUCCGCCUCAUUGAACGAGCAGGAAAAUGGUUCUCUUCGUCCCUCGCCCUUGGUACCAAUGUUGUUGCCAACAUAACUGACAGUCUAUGCUCUGACAUGCCUUGCUAUCAUCGCCCAUCCUACUUUUAACCCACAUGGUGGGUCCAUAACCCAUAGUUCCACAGGAUCGAAACCUGACUCUCCUGUACAUCCAUGUUCUCCAAAAUUGUUCCUCACGCUUGGCUUCGUAUGUAAAUCACGAGCGACCUACCUAGUGAUCUAUUCUGGUAUCAGACGCAAUACUUUUUCCCAUUGCUCUGAACCCCUUUCACCCUCUGUUUCAGGCAACGAAUGAUUGCCAACCCGGUUGAAGAUUUUUAUUGCACCUCCUUACCUUGCUCUCGACGCCUUCCUUGAAUUUCGACUCGAGAGAUGCCUCCGUGCAAAGUUCACUAAGAUAGCCCCCAGGUACCUAUCUUGUGUUGAUGCUCCGUCCUUCCCGAGUCUUUCCCCUUACUCCACCCCCUAAAUCUCGGACGAGAUUUCUUGUAGUGGGGGAGAAUUGUAACGGCCGGAUAAUUAAGCUACAAUAAUCCCCUUCUAAUGGUGUCAUGUCACAACGAUUACUGUUCUUAAACCCACGUUGGUUCGAAACCGGUUCAAAUUCAAAUCCAAAACAAAAUUGAAAAUAAAAGUUUUCAGAUGUCAAAUCUAAAAUGUUCACAAUAUUCUUUAAAUUCACCUGAUCAUUGUCAUGUUGGAACCAACCUCUUUUGGAUUCACACAGUGCCCCUGAAAAUUUAUUCAGUGGACCAACAACCCAUUAUUUGAGCUUUUCAAUUUCUAAAAAUAGUUGAACACUCCCAAAUGCUUCGAAACCUUUUGUACCAACCCAGGAUAUUGCCUUGUAUUUUUGUGCCAAGUUUUGUAUUAAACAAAACUCUUUUAGUGGCUCAAAGAA